GUGGGGAAUAUUGCACAAUGGGGGAAACCCUGAUGCAGCGACGCCGCGUGAGUGAAGAAGUAUUUCGGUAUGUAAAGCUCUAUCAGCAGGAAAGAAAAUGACGGUACCUGACUAAGAAGCCCCGGCUAACUACGUGCCAGCAGCCGCGGUAAUACGUAGGGGGCAAGCGUUAUCCGGAUUUACUGGGUGUAAAGGGAGCGUAGACGGCAAUGCAAGUCUGAAGUGAAAGCCCAGGGCUUAACCCUGGGACUGCUUUGGAAACUGUAUAGCUGGAGUGCAGGAGAGGUAAGUGGAAUUCCUAGUGUAGCGGUGAAAUGCGUAGAUAUUAGGAGGAACACCAGUGGCGAAGGCGGCCUGCUGGACUGUAACUGACGCUGAGGCUCGAAAGCAUGGGGAGCAAACAGGA
rnacentral:rRNA from 1 species